rnacentral:lncRNA from 1 species
UUUCCCUUAAGUUUGAAUGGUUUUGGAUGUUUUUGGGUGAAAAAUGUUCAUGGAAAUUUUUUUUGAGUUUUUCAUGAGUGUUCUUCAUUGUUCUUGACAUUUUUGCCAAGAACAAAAAGUUCGGUGUUUUGAUUUAUUUCAUAAAGUUUAAUUUUUUUUUUUAUUUUUUUUCAAAUGUUUAAAUGUGUUAGAUAUUUAUUUAAAAAGGUGUAAGAAAUAUUGGUGGGUGUGUAAGGAUUAAUUCCCUUUCACACACACCACUUGCAUGACAUUUAUGUCAUGCACCACUUGCAUGACUUUAUGUCUAAAACUACAAAUCAACACACACAUCACUCCCUUCUCUCCAAAACCGGCCACCCUACAAGUGGGGUGUUUUUGGGGCUUUUAUGCAAUUACAUAAAGUUUUGGUACUUUUGUGUAAUUUGUAGUUUGACCCAAAAGUUUACGUAUUUACGUAAAGGCCCAAAAUCAUUAAAGGACAAAUUGUUUUGUUCCUUUAAUGAAGUUUUUGAAUUUGUUGAAAUUUUUGGGUUCUAGUUGUAAUUACAUGAAGUAGUGAAAUUUUGUGUUUUUACAAAGUGACCCCAAAAGUUUAUGUUUUUGCAACAUAGCCCAAAAAGUUGAGGUUAUUGCAUUUUGGCCCAAAUUAAGUUGAGAACAAAAUGGUUUUGUCUCUUUAAAUGAGAAUUGGAUUUUCAUUUCAUUUAGCUCCAUUUAAAUCAAU